UUUUUUUUUUUUUUUUUUUUUUGGGGGGGGGGUGGUCUUGGUAUUAUUAUGCUGAGGCUUCAAAUAGCUGAGUUGUCUGCAAAUUUAUAUCUCCUCAGAAGAACCAUUUGGCUCACCUGCUGAUGGCAGAGAGCACAAGUUGGCACACUUUCAAAAGAAAAGGCUUAUUUUACCAGCAGCAACUGUGCCUUUCAUUCAACCUGGACCAGCAGAUAGGAAGCCAAGGGACUGUUCAAGAAGCAGUUCCAGGAAAACUACAAUCUAAAAUCAGUUUUGAAAGAAUUGUGAUGAAAGGGAACUAUAUUAUUUCUUUGAGUUUUUGUCUUAUUUUCCUCCCUUGUUUUUUUUUUUGUUUUUUUUUUUUUUAAGAGAAAACAAGAGUGAAAGAAAUCUUCAUUCAGGAGGAAAGUAGAAAGUAUAUUGAUUCAGUUUAGUGUCUCUCAGAAUAUUCUUCUCUCUGAUUUGUGGGAUCCUAAAAGGACACUUUCCAUCACUUUGGUGAGGUGAUAUGUCCAAUAUUUGAAAUUUGUAUACAAUGAUUCCUCAGUGAUUUCCUUGGCUUAGAAGUUUUUUAGUUUUUUUAUUACUGCAUGAUAUCUGAAAUAGGUUUUUGUUUUAUCUCAAGAGAUUCUUUCAUUCCUUUAAUGAAAUAAAUUUUAUUUUCAAGAAAGACCAUAAUUUUGGUUUUCUUACAGCUUUGAUUCUACUGAAUGGAGGACUGUGCCCUGUGGCUACACUUCUCAGAAGGGGAAAAGGUUUCAAGCAGCAAAAAAGGCACAAAGCAGUAACACUGGGUAAAGAGCUCCUGUUUCCUCCCAGCUGAUGAUCUUGGAGAAAAAAGCAGAUGUGCUGAAUGCUGUGCCUCAGUGGGUGUACAUGUACUUUUCCCAGUUUAUAGCGUGCCAAAACUUGGAGCAGCAACAAACUGCACAGGAGUUUGAAAAUCAAGGACUGAGGCAGUAACUGCAGCACAUCUAAUGUCUAGGUCAUAUUGUUCUCUACCCAGAGAUCAAUUCUCUAAUUUGCUUUUGUGGUCUCUCAUUGUAAUAAAAGUCCUGAAGAGGGUACAUGUGGUUCUCCACAUUAUGGUACUGUCUGAGGCUCCAGAACCCAUCCUGCUCAUGGCCUGCAGGAGGUUGUGGAGGCUCUCCUGCCAUGGUGACCAUCCUGUCAUGGUGAACACUUAACUGGAUAUUCUAGUGCAUUGACUUCGCUGUGCAGAAGUAGUCCAGGACUCAUUUGUACUGUCCUAGGGCCACAGACUGGGCACCCCGGCACCUACCUCAGGCUAGUUGCACUUCUGAAGGCAUGAUAGACUUGUCCACUUUAUCCUCAUCAUCCCAUGGAGCUCAGCAUCUCUCACUGCUCUUCUGUUACUGUAUUUCCCAUGAUAUGGAUGCCUGAAAUAAUGCUAUGGCAGCCCAGUGAAGACUGGAAAUACAAAACAUCUAUACUGUAUGAGUUGAAAGAUCCACCCAGCAUUUUGUCUCCAGCUGUGGCCAGAAACAGAUUUUUAUGAGAGAGCAUAAAGCAGGAGAAAUGCAAAGUAGUACCUUCCCAGCUACAGGUCUCUUUCAAGGGGCUUCCUGAGCCAAAGGUUGUGUCCAGACUGUCACAUUCCCUGACCACUGGUGGACAUUCAUGCUUACAUGAAUUAGUCUGAUCUCUUUUUAAAUUCAUUUAUAACUUUAGCCUCUACAACCACCCUGAGUACUUAGUUUCACAGUUUAAUUGGAUGUUAGGGGAAAAGGCAUUUCUUUCUCAUUGUUUUAAUCCUGCUGCUGAUAAUUGGGGUGCCUUCUAAUUCUCAUAGUGGGUGGAAGAUUGAGUAAUUGUUCCAUGUUUACUUCAGUUAUCAUUAUAAACCUCUAUUAUCUCCCUUCUCAGCUGUCUCUUUUUUUCAGCUAAAGAGUCCAAGUCUAAUUAGUCUGUCCUCAUUUCUGCAAGGCUGAAACCAGCUCAAAAUAAUUGCCAGGCACGAUCUUAGCAUACUAUCCAAAUCAUACCUACAAUACUCUGGAGGUUAUUGGGCUGCUUAUAAAACUAAUGCACAUUUUUCCAAGGUCUGCUGUGAAUGCAAAGGGCAUGUCCAGGGUACUUGGAGCAGAAGGAGAACAAAUAUGUGACAUUUUUGUACAUAGUGUUGCUUUUGACCAGCUAUAAGGUGUAACUGAAUAUACUGGUAAAACCAUGUGUUUUUAUGUACACAGGAAACUUGCACCUGGCAACAGAAACACCUGUGAAAAUGUCAAGUAAACUGUGCUUCUGAUUUCUACAGAAUAGGAAAAAUUAGGACAGACCUUUAACUGGCAAAGUUCAACUGUACGAGUUCUGUAGUGGUCUGUUGUUUUCUGACGUGGUUAAAUCCAGCUGACAAUAAAUGGAUUGGGUCAUCAUGCACCAAGAGCUAAGAUGUUUUGAAAGUACAUAAAUAUAACUUAAAGAUGUCAAGAUUAUAUAAAAUCAUAUUAGUAAAUGAACAACAGGUAUAAGAAUGAAUGCCUUAGGUAUGCUUCAUUUGAACUAAAUGAAUAUCAGAUUCCAACUUGUUUUUAGCCAAAUCACAAGGAAGGAUGUUCUGUCCUUUGAUUAUAUUCUUCUCCAUGUUACAGUAUGUACUCUUUGCAAAUGAAUAUUUUAGUGUGCAAAUCCACUACAAGAUGUAAAAAUGAGACAGACGUAACUUCAUCUAUAUGCACUUUAAAACCAAUCUGAUUUCACAAACCAAACUAAGAAUGGAAUUGUCCUAAGUAUAAAAGGACUCUGCAAUCAUGAAGUUCCAAAUCUGCUGAAAUAAUCAGUAUAAAUUUCAAGUGAAGGAAAUUUAUUUUAGAUGUCAUAUGGCACUGCAAUGUACAUAUAUUCCAAAUAAUCUCACAAAGAGCCACAGCAGCUCUUUGAUUAGUAUAAUGUACAAAUUUCUGUGCACAACCUGACAAGAGUCUUAAUUUCUGUUUAGAAGCCACUUUUCCCUCUGACAGUGUUUCCCACCUGCCAUACACAAAAAUUGUAUUUUCACUUCCCGUGUGGCUAUCAGGGAUCCAGGAGUUUGGGUUCCUCCAGGCACUGGCAGGACAGUGGCACUUUUGCCUCCUGGGCUCCCCAGUGUAGACUGUUCCAUUCCAGUUCAUACAAACUUAAGAAAUCUAGAACACUAUUCUAGAAAUUUGGGAGUUUCUAGAACACUAGAAAUACUGGAACUGGAGGAAAACCAGAUUUUGAAACAUUUAAAUCCUCUGUGAGAUAACACCGACCAUCUCCUUCUCACUCAGCUCUAAUUCUGAGGCAUAUUUCAACCAGGCAUUUUAUCAUGUGCAAAAAUUCAAUAACCUUUACAAACCAGAGAUUUAAGUUCUGUGAUGAGGCCAAAUUUUCAGAUGACAUUUAGAUUUAGAACAUGGCUGUUGUCUGGGCUGCUUAAAGGGAAACGGAGGGAAGCUCCUGAACGGACGUGAGGUUGUUCUGCCUUGCCUUGUUUGUCCUUCAUCUUUCUGCACAAAUCAAGUGCAGCUUCAUCCACCUGAGCCUGAAUUAUCUCCCUGGUAGUCAGCAGUACUUGCAAAAAUCUUGCUACAGCCAGCAUCUUUUAAAUUGCUUGGUAUUUUCCACAUUUUGAAGAUUAUUUGUCCAGUGACUGCUACCUGUCUCCUCCUUAUCCUUCUUCUAGGCUAAUAAAAAACCACAGCUAUUAAUGCAUUCAAGAAACUUGGUAUAGUGAUUCCUAGAUCUUUGAGAUAUCAUGCUACCUGGUUAUGGAAAAUCAAUUUUCAGACUUUUGAAAUGGAAAGAAAACUCUCUGGUGCAGCAAAAUCAAACAUCCAAAUGAUCCUCCAGCAGCAAACUAAAAAUUAAUUCAGAUUUUGGGACAGAGUCCCACAUUACUGUUUUCUUUUCUUUUCUGAAAGCAAUGUAACAUCCUCAUUUUAUGUUCAAGGAACUAUAGUAACCUUCUUGUUCUGGAAUCGGGAUAUAUUUCAAGGCAUGCCUUUAAGGAAAUGCAAAUCAUGAUAUCUCAUGGGUGGUGGGCUCUUUCAUUUUCCUUCAGGAUUCAGAAGGCAGGCACAGGGGGCACCGGUCCUUUUGAGAAACCUAUAGCUGAACACAAAAGCUACAUCUUGCAGGUAGCUAAAAUGAAAAAUCCUGAGUUUUCUGAAGUGCGGGCCUACUCAAGGAUGACACAUAGCAGCAGGUAGAAAUAUGUUGAGCCGAGCUUUCAUCUGGUCACUCCUUAUGAGUAUAAAAUGAAUUCAAAGUGCAAUCUGGGCAGAGUUUCACAAACACUGAACAUGGGUGUAAAUGAUUACCUAGUCUGGGUGCUAGCAGCAAACGGACACUGAUGUGGCAGCAACUUCUUAACUCCUUCUUUUCUUUUUGCUUACCUGGGUAUCAAGGAAUGAAUUGGGAUACAUCAGUGGCUCACCCCAACCCUGUGGAAAUGUCCUCUCUCAUACAUGUAUUGCUCUCUGUUAGAAGACUGGUGACAUCCCCUCUUGAACUUUAUUUUUUUUCGAGUUUCACGUUUGGAGUGUUACAGAUGUGUUGCACAGUAUAACUACAUGGUGUGUUACAUGCUCUGACUACUGAGUAAAGCAAUAAGGAAGCAAAGAACCAGAGCCAAGACAGAAGCAGGAAAAGCAUCUGCCAGAGAGUACAGCCUCAAUCUCCAGUGGCUUGUGCUUGCAUUGACGUCAGUCAGCACAAAGUGUAUGCUCUUUUAUGUACCCUUGUGAUUCCUGGUUGUUUUUAUUUUAUGUGUGUACUGCAUUGUUUUCCCAGCAGCAGUGUGGCCUGGGUAGGUCUGAUCCUCUGUCAAGGAGCAGAAUUAGAGACAGUGGGGCUGUGUCAGCACAGUAGAAGUCAUGCUGGGGUGGUGAGAUUGUCAUCAGCAGCUGCUCUCAAUGCAGCAGGGCAGCUCUCAGGAAUGCCUGUAAAGUGCCAGAAGGGUGCUUCUGAUAUAAUCCCAAGAAAGCAACAAGCUGCAUUUUGGUCAGUCUGCAGCUCUUUCAAUUAUAGAUGAUUCUGUAAUUUCAGAAAUCAUCUCUCCUCUUUAUUAAAAACCUAAAAUCUCAACUAUUCACCAAGUAUACACAAUGGUGGAGAAAUGGUGAUGUGGAACACAAAGUUCUUUGAUAUAUGCUUAUGUGUUAAAAAUCAUGAACAGCCAUUGUCUGAGAGGCUGUUUUUUCUUGCUGUGCUUAGUGCAGAUCUAGUACAAGGAGAAACAGAGCAUCUACUGAUGCAUUGAUCUGGUAAGUAGUAGAUUUUUCAAGCAAUAUCCCCAAAGAGGAAAAGAAUAAAAGAAUGUCAGUUAUUGCAUGCUAGAGACACAGUGCAGGGACAGUAGAUCCAGUAGACAUUCUGUGCUCUGCUCCUUAUUUCUAAGAGCUACACACAUAUAAAUAGUUUUAAACUCAAGCACAGAAUUCACUUUCUAUUUACAUUAUUUCAAACCAAUGUCACAGGAUAACUCAAUCACUGAACAGAAUCAUUUGUGUCUUACUAAGAAAUGCCAAAAACCUGCUGUGUGCCACAGCACAGGUGGGACAGGGGAAACUGGGAAAUCUGCCUCACAUCCAUUUUAAAGGCCCUACUUAAAGACUCCCAGUCCUGAUCCAUGUCACCAACACUGCACAGCAGUGCUCCUACAUGGAGCUUGUGACCCAGCUUUCAUAGCUAGGGCUUUUCUGGCUCCUGCAGAUCACAUUAAUGUGCUUAAGGGAACUGAGGCAUCCUUCCAUGGCAGCUGAACUGAUGCUUCCAUUCCUCACGGUAUGCUGGGAAGCUCAAGGUCCUUCACGUGUGGGUGGGGCUCCUCUGCAGGCAGAGCACACCUAUGCACAGCCCCAACCCUAGCAGGGCAGAAGCCCUGAGGAUUUCAGCCUUUCUGCUGCCAGUGUUCGCAGCAGUGACCGCUGCUCCGCGCACCGAGGGGGCACCGUGCAACCGCCCGGCAGCCUCUCCCUUCCCUGCCUUCCCACCUCAGCUCACCUCUCCCUAUGUCCAGCUCAGCAAAGUCCCAUCUUAGGAGGAAAACAGAAUUGAAUAAUCAGUUUUUCAAGGGAUUUCCCUAUGAAAAUGGCUUUGUUUAGAUAGAGCUGCUCCUUACGCUCAAAACGUGUAAGCUGAAGAGCAUCAAGCUCUUCUCUGCAGCAAGCUCUGGCCGAGUAUUUGCUUUUUUCCUUUGCAGAUUCCACUGGAUCUACUCCAUUCUGACCUGCUCAUUGUACAAUUAAGAACUGAAAUGGGAAUGUGAUGGUUCAACCCAAUACUGAGUCCUCUGUGGAUGGGCACUUAAUUUCUCUACUAUCUGUUGUAAUGGCAAGUCCCCACAUUCAUUUCCCUGGUGCUUUGCUGUGCUGCUCUGGUGAGAAAGUCAUUACCCUUUUCAGGGAAAAACUCCAU
rnacentral:lncRNA from 1 species